rnacentral:rRNA from 1 species
GGUUAAGCGACUAAGCGUACACGGUGGAUGCCCUGGCAGUCAGAGGCGAUGAAGGACGUGCUAAUCUGCGAUAAGCGCCGGUAAGGUGAUAUGAACCGUUAUAACCGGCGAUUUCCGAAUGGGGAAACCCAGUGUGACUCGUCACACUAUCAUUAACUGAAUCCAUAGGUUAAUGAGGCGAACCGGGGGAACUGAAACAUCUAAGUACCCCGAGGAAAAGAAAUCAACCGAGAUUCCCCCAGUAGCGGCGAGCGAACGGGGAGGAGCCCAGAGCCUGAAUCAGCAUGUGUGUUAGUGGAAGCGUCUGGAAAGGCGCGCGAUACAGGGUGACAGCCCCGUACACAAAAGCGCAUGUGCUGUGAGCUCGAUGAGUAGGGCGGGACACGUGGUAUCCUGUCUGAAUAUGGGGGGACCAUCCUCCAAGGCUAAAUACUCCUGACUGACCGAUAGUGAACCAGUACCGUGAGGGAAAGGCGAAAAGAACCCCGGCGAGGGGAGUGAAAAAGAACCUGAAACCGUGUACGUACAAGCAGUGGGAGCACCCUUUGGGGUGUGACUGCGUACCUUUUGUAUAAUGGGUCAGCGACUUAUAUUCUGUAGCAAGGUUAACCGUAUAGGGGAGCCGGAGGGAAACCGAGUCUUAACCGGGCGUUAAGUUGCAGGGUAUAGACCCGAAACCCGGUGAUCUAGCCAUGGGCAGGUUGAAGGUUGGGUAACACUAACUGGAGGACCGAACCGACUAAUGUUGAAAAAUUAGCGGAUGACCUGUGGCUGGGGGUGAAAGGCCAAUCAAACCGGGAGAUAGCUGGUUCUCCCCGAAAGCUAUUUAGGUAGCGCCUCGUGAAUUCAUCUCCGGGGGUAGAGCACUGUUUCGGCUAGGGGGCCAUCCCGGCUUACCAACCCGAUGCAAACUGCGAAUACCGGAGAAUGUUAUCACGGGAGACACACGGCGGGUGCUAACGUCCGUCGUGAAGAGGGAAACAACCCAGACCGCCAGCUAAGGUCCCAAAGUCAUGGUUAAGUGGGAAACGAUGUGGGAAGGCCCAGACAGCCAGGAUGUUGGCUUAGAAGCAGCCAUCAUUUAAAGAAAGCGUAAUAGCUCACUGGUCGAGUCGGCCUGCGCGGAAGAUGUAACGGGGCUAAACCAU